GUAGGUGAACCUGCGGAAGGAUCAUUAUGAAUCACCGAGCGAGCGGCUGUUGUAUCGAGCAAUGCAUGCAUGCAAGCAUGCAUUGGGAGAUGCAAUGGACGAUCGACUCGAAAUACCCUGUUGAAACGAGUGCAGUCGCGUUGGUUCCUCUCUUCUCUUUGAUCGAAGGGAAUCGACGCACUGUUUUGAAAUAACAUUACGAGAUAUUGAAUUAUGACAAGAGAAUAACAACCAACUUUUAACAAUGGAU
rnacentral:misc_RNA from 1 species